GAUGAAGAACGUAGUGAAAUGCGAUAAGUAAUGUGAAUUGCAGAAUUCAGUGAAUCAUCGAAUCUUUGAACGCACAUUGCGCCCGCCAGUAUUCUGGCGGGCAUGCCUGUUCGAGCGUCAUUUCAACCCUCAAGCCCAGCUUGGUGUUGGGGAUCGGCACAGGCGCCAUCGGGCGCCCGCCGUCCCCUAAAUCUAGUGGCGGUCCCGCUGCAGCCUCCUCUGCGUAGUAGUUUUCUCCUCGCAAGGGCAGCUCGGUGGCGACCUCGCCGUAAAACCCCCAACUUCUGAAAGGUUGACCUCGAAUCAGGUAGGAAUACCCGCUGAACUUAAGCAUAUCAAUAAGCGGAGGA
rnacentral:misc_RNA from 1 species